rnacentral:rRNA from 1 species
UUUAAUCAUUAUGGUACCCGUACCGCAAACCGACACAGGUAGUCAAGGAGAGAAUCCUGAGGUGCUCGAGUGAAUCAUGGCUAAGGAACUCGGCAAAUUAACCCUGUAACUUCGGGAAAAGGGGUGCCCUCAGCAAUGAGGGUCGCAGAGAAAUGGCCCAGGCGACUGUUUAACAAAAACACAUGGCUAUGCGAAAUCGAAAGAUGAAGUAUAUGGCCUGACACCUGCCCGGUGCUGGAAGGUUAAGGGGGGACGUUAGUCGCAAGACAAAGCGUUGAACUGAAGCCCCAGUAAGCGGCGGCCGUAACUGUAACGGUCCUAAGGUAGCGAAAUUCCUUGUCGGGUAAGUUCCGACCUGCACGAAUGGUGUAACGAUCUGGGCGCUGUCUCAGCCAUGAGCUCGGUGAAAUUGUAGUCACGGUGAAGAUGCCGUGUACCCGCAACGGGACGGAAAGACCCCAUGCACCUUUACUAUAGCUUCACAUUGACAUUGGGUAAAUGAUGUGUAGGAUAGGUGGGAGACAUUGAUCCCGGGCCGCUAGGUUCGGGGGAGUCAACGGUGAAAUACCACCCUUUAUUUUCUUGAUGUCUAACCUCUAACAAGGGACAGUGUGUGGUGGGUAGUUUGACUGGGGUGGUCGCCUCCGAAAGUGUAUCGGAGGCUUUCAAAGGUAUGCUCAGUACGCUUGGUAACCGUACGUGGAGUGCAAUAGCAUAAGCAUGCUUGACUGUGAGACCGACGGGUCGAGCAGGGACGAAAGUUGGAUAUAGUGAUCCGGUGGUUCUGUAUGGAAGGGCCAUCGCUCAAAGGAUAAAAGGUACGCUGGGAUAACAGGCUGAUCUCCCCCAAGAGCUCACAUCGACGGGGAGGUUUGGCACCUCGAUGUCGGCUCGUCACAUCCUGGGGCUGGAGAAGGUCCCAAGGGUUGGGCUGUUCGCCCAUUAAAGUGGCACGCGAGCUGGGUUCAGAACGUCGUGAGACAGUUCGGUCCCUAUCUGUUGUGGGCGUAGGAAGUUUGAGAGGAUCUGACCUUAGUACGAGAGGACCGGGUUGGACUAACCGCUGGUGUACCAGUUGUGGCGUCAGCUGCACCGCUGGGUAGCUAUGUUGGGACGGGAUAAGCGCUGAAAGCAUCUAAGCGCGAAACCCACCUCAAGAUGAGAUUUCCAUUAAGGGACGUCAGAGAUUAUGACGUUGAUAGGCUGCAGGUGUAAAGUCAGUAAUGGCAAAGCUGAGCAGUACUAAUAACCC